CCUACGGGUGGCAGCAGUGAGGAAUAUUGGUCAAUGGGCUUACGCCUGAACCAGCCAAGUCGCGUGAGGGAAGACUGCCCUCUGGGUUGUAAACCUCUUUUGUCAGGGAGCAAAGCCGGCUACGUGUAGCCGGACUGAGAGUACCUGAAGAGAAAGCAUCGGCUAACUCCGUGCCAGCAGCCGCGGUAAUACGGUGGAUGCGAGCGUUAUCCGGAUUUAUUGGGUUUAAAGGGUGCGUAGGCGGAAUGCCAAGUCAGCGGUAAAGUCGCGGGGCUCAACCUCCCUCUGCUGUUGAAACUGGCGGUCUUGAGUGGGCGAGAGGUGUGCGGAAUGCGUGGUGGAGCGGUGAAAUGCAUAGAUAUCACGCAGAACUCCGAUUGCGAAGGCAGCAUACCGGCGCCCAACUGACGCUGAAGCACGAAAGCGUGGGUAGCGAACAGGAUUAGAUACCCCGGUAGUC
rnacentral:rRNA from 1 species